UAGGGAAUCUUCCGCAAUGGGCGAAAGCCUGACGGAGCAACGCCGCGUGAGUGAUGAAGGUUUUCGGAUCGUAAAACUCUGUUAUUAGGGAAGAACAAAUGUGUAAGUAACUAUGCACGUCUUGACGGUACCUAAUCAGAAAGCCACGGCUAACUACGUGCCAGCAGCCGCGGUAAUACGUAGGUGGCAAGCGUUAUCCGGAAUUAUUGGGCGUAAAGCGCGCGUAGGCGGUUUUUUAAGUCUGAUGUGAAAGCCCACGGCUCAACCGUGGAGGGUCAUUGGAAACUGGAAAACUUGAGUGCAGAAGAGGAAAGUGGAAUUCCAUGUGUAGCGGUGAAAUGCGCAGAGAUAUGGAGGAACACCAGUGGCGAAGGCGACUUUCUGGUCUGUAACUGACGCUGAUGUGCGAAAGCGUGGGGAUCAAACAGG
rnacentral:rRNA from 1 species